rnacentral:misc_RNA from 1 species
AAACACAGCAAAAGAAUUGAAAAGUGAAAACAACCAUCAUCAACAAAGCGAACAAUUCCGAAUCAGUAAAAGGAAAGAACAUGAUACAAUUCCAAUUCCAUACACCAGGAGGGUUGAUGGGUUAGAUAUGGCGGGAAAUCAUCAUGAUAUGUUAUAGGUGAUCUUGAGCAAUAUCAGUAGCUGGCAUCUAAAGACAGAAUCUACUGAAAUUCAAGAUUAAAAGGCAUCAACUUGAUAGAAAAUAAAGAAAAAAUAAAACCUUUUUUUUCAGAUGGAUCGGAUGAUUAUGAGCAAUCCCAAAUCAAAA